AUUGAACGCUGGCGGCAUGCCUUACACAUGCAAGUCGAACGGCAGCACGGGUGCUUGCACCUGGUGGCGAGUGGCGAACGGGUGAGUAAUACAUCGGAACAUGUCCUGUAGUGGGGGAUAGCCCGGCGAAAGCCGGAUUAAUACCGCAUACGAUCUACGGAUGAAAGCGGGGGACCUUCGGGCCUCGCGCUAUCGGGUUGGCCGAUGGCUGAUUAGCUAGUUGGUGGGGUAAAGGCCUACCAAGGCGACGAUCAGUAGCUGGUCUGAGAGGACGACCAGCCACACUGGGACUGAGACACGGCCCAGACUCCUACGGGAGGCAGCAGUGGGGAAUUUUGGACAAUGGGCGAAAGCCUGAUCCAGCAAUGCCGCGUGUGUGAAGAAGGCCUUCGGGUUGUAUAGCACUUCUGUCCGGAAAGAAAUCCUUGGCCCUAAUACGGUCGGGGGAUGACGGUACCGGAAGAAUAAGCACCGGCUAACUACGUG
rnacentral:rRNA from 1 species